UUUAGCUAAAAUGAACGAUUUAUUAACAUAUGAUAUUCCGGCCAUUGGUUAUAAUAAAAAUAUUUUAUCGGUUUUCUCAACCACAAUUGAUCCAUCAAUUAAAUACACGCAGUGGACAUUAUGGUCAAAGUGUAGCAAAUUAUGUGAUGCAGGCUAUAGAUAUCGCGUUAGAUUUCAAAUAAAUUUAAGAUCCAUAGCUUCAAUAGGUGAAACGCAUCAGACUCAAUAUUGUAAUACGUUUCCAUGUCCAGGUGAAUUCCGCCAACCUAGGACCCUUUGAUCCUGGUCACAAAGUACCAUUAUCGACAACCCAGAAAUUAACUUAUUCAAAAAAUAAUUAACUUUAUUAUUCCUUCUCAAAAAUAUGAAUAAUGAAUGAUUUAUAUAAAACCAAAAUAGAAUAACAAA